rnacentral:rRNA from 1 species
GAUGAACGCUGGCGGCGUGCCUAACACAUGCAAGUCGAGCGAACAGACGACAGUGCUUGCACUCUCUGAGGUUAGCGGCGGACGGGGGAGUAACACGGUGGUAACCCACCUAUAAGAUUGGGAUAACCUCGGGAAACCGGAGCCUAUACCGGAUAAUAUUUAGCCUCGCACGAAGUAAUACUGAAAGACGGUUUUGCUGUCACGUGUAGAUGGACCCGCCGUGUAUUAGCGGGUUGGUGAGGUAACGGCUCCCCAAGGCGACGAUGCAUAGCCGACCUGAGGGGGUGAUCGACCACACUGGGACUGAGACGCGGCCCAGACUCCUACGGGAGGCAGCAGUAGGGAAUCUUCCGGAAUGAACGGAAGUCUGACGGAGCAAUGCCGCGUGGGUGAAGAAGGUUUUCGGAUCGUAGAGCUCUGUUGUAGGGGAAGAACAAGUACGUUAGUAACUGAACGUGCCUUGACGGUACCUGGACAGAAAGCCACGGCUAACUACGUG